rnacentral:rRNA from 1 species
AAACGGGUGGCGUCAAGCUGCUAGCCCGGGGGGUUCAGCUGACUAGGAUGUUGUGUAUGCGCCUGUUGCAUCAAUCAGUCGGUAUGAGAUUCGGUAGUCCACUGGAAGACAGUGGGCCUGGUCGCAAGACUGGGUAUGUGUACCGGGCGGCUGCCGGAGCAUGCUAUCUAUCUGUUGGACUGUCUAGUCAGUGCACUCUCCUCGUGGUGGGCACCACGACCGGUGGCAUUGCCAGUCUGCUGUGGUCAAGUCUUGUUUAGUUGUUCCUCGUGAUCAGCUGGAUGGGAUCACAGGCAAUUCAGUUAACGGCGUAGAGGUGUUUCGGCAUUUCUACGUGUAAUCGGCGACUGGUUGUCAACGGGUGUGCCUUGCGAACGAUGUAGCCGUCGCUUGGUGACCCGGUGGGCCAUGGUGGUAAAUACAACUGUGCAAGGCACUGGUGUUCUCGACCUCAAAUGCAGCCUACGUGCGCGCGUUACAAGCGUAAGCGUGGCAUCGGUGCUGCCUGCCUGUUCUCUGGUCUGAUUGCCGUGUCGCCUGCGCAAAGUGGGUCCGGCGGUGGCUGGAGGUGGGUCGGGUGGUGCAUUGCGGUGUUGCGUGUGUGGGUUGUGGUGGGUCAGUGAGUCUGUGGUGUUGUGGUAGACCAGUCACCCGGCCCGUCUUGAAACACGGACCAAGGAGUUUAACACGUGUGCAAGUCAAAGGGUCCUACGAAACCCCAAGGCGCAGUGAAAGUGAGGCUCCGACUUGUCCCGGAGUGAGGUGAGAUCCUGCCGUAACUCGCAUAAGUCUGCCAGCAACAGGCUAAGAGCGGUGGGCGCAUCACCGGCCCGUCCCA